rnacentral:misc_RNA from 1 species
GAUGAAGAACGUAGCGAAAUGCGAUAAGUAAUGUGAAUUGCAGAAUUCAGUGAAUCAUCGAAUCUUUGAACGCACAUUGCGCCCGCCAGUAUUCUGGCGGGCAUGCCUGUUCGAGCGUCAUUACAACCCUCAAGCCCCCCGGCUUGGUGUUGGGGACCGGCCACCGGUGCCCUGCUGCUUCCGCGGCAGGCGCACCCGGCCGCCCCCGAAAUGAAUUGGCGGCCCCGUCGCGGCCUCCCUCUGCGUAGUAGCACACAUCUCGCAGCUGGAGCGCGGCGCGGCCACUGCCGUAAAACGCACCAACUUUUUUUACAGUUCACCUCGAAUCAGGUAGGAAUACCCGCUUAACUUAAGCAUAUCAAUAAGCGGAGGA